rnacentral:rRNA from 1 species
UACGAAGGGUGCAAGCGUUACUCGGAAUUACUGGGCGUAAAGCGUGCGUAGGCGGUUUGUUAAGUCCGCUGUGAAAGCCCUGGGCUCAACCUGGGAAUGGCCGUCGAAACUGGCGAACUGGAGUGUGGCAGAGGGGGGUGGAAUUCCGCGUGUAGCAGUGAAAUGCGUAGAGAUGCGGAGGAACACCGAUGGCGAAGGCAGCCCCCUGGGCUGACACUGACGCUCAGGCACGAAAGCGUGGGGAGCAAACAGG